rnacentral:rRNA from 1 species
UCUACGGGGGGCAGCAGUGGGGAAUAUUGCACAAUGGGGGAAACCCUGAUGCAGCGACGCCGCGUGAAGGAAGAAGUAUUUCGGUAUGUAAACUUCUAUCAGCCGGGAAGAAAAUGACGGUACCUGACUAAGAAGCACCGGCUAACUACGUGCCAGCAGCCGCGGUAAUACGGAGGGGGCAAGCGUUAUCCGGAUUUAAGGGGUGUAAAGGGAGCGUAGGCGGUCCAGCAAGUAAGAAGUGAAAGCCAGGGGCUCAACGCCGGGACUGCUUUUGAAACUGUUGAACUAGAUUGCAGGAGAGGUAAGUGGAAUUCCUAGUGUAGCGGUGAAAUGCGUAGAUAUUAGGAGGAACACCAGUGGCGAAGGCGGCUUACUGGACUGUAAAUGACGCUGAGGCUCGAAAGCGUGGGGAGCAAACAGGAUUAGAUACCCUGGUAGUC